AGCGAACGCUGGCGGCAGGCUUAACACAUGCAAGUCGAGCGGGCGUAGCAAUACGUCAGCGGCAGACGGGUGAGUAACGCGUGGGAACGUACCUUUUGGUUCGGAACAACACAGGGAAACUUGUGCUAAUACCGGAUAAGCCCUUACGGGGAAGAUUUAUCGCCGAAAGAUCGGCCCGCGUCUGAUUAGCUAGUUGGUGAGGUAACGGCUCACCAAGGCGACGAUCAGUAGCUGGUCUGAGAGGAUGAUCAGCCACAUUGGGACUGAGACACGGCCCAAACUCCUACGGGAGGCAGCAGUGGGGAAUAUUGGACAAUGGGCGCAAGCCUGAUCCAGCCAUGCCGCGUGCGUGAUGAAGGCCCUAGGGUUGUAAAGCUCUUUUGUGCGGGAAGAUAAUGACGGUACCGCAAGAAUAAGCCCCGGCUAACUUCGUGCCAGCCGCCGCCGUAA
rnacentral:rRNA from 1 species